GCGCUUGUGGUCUAGCGGUUAUGACUCCGGCCUUCCAAGCCGGGUGCCCGGGUUCAAAUCCCGGCGAGCGCA
rnacentral:tRNA from 1 species